rnacentral:rRNA from 1 species
UCGCAGAGAUGUGACCCUCUCUUCGGAGCCUGGAACACAGGUGCUGCAUGGCUGUCGUCAGCUCGUGUCGUGAGAUGUUGGGUUAAGUCCCGCAACGAGCGCAACCCCCGUCCUUAGUUGCUACCAUUUAGUUGAGCACUCUAAGGAGACUGCCGGUGAUAAGCCGCGAGGAAGGUGGGGAUGACGUCAAGUCCUCAUGGCCCUUACGGGCUGGGCUACACACGUGCUACAAUGGCGGUGACAAUGGGAUGCUAAGGGGCGACCCUUCGCAAAUCUCAAAAAGCCGUCUCAGUUCGGAUUGGGCUCUGCAACUCGAGCCCAUGAAGUUGGAAUCGCUAGUAAUCGUGGAUCAGCACGC